CUACGGGCGGCAGCAGUGGGGAAUAUUGCACAAUGGAGGAAACUCUGAUGCAGCAACGCCGCGUGGAGGAUGACACUUUUCGGAGCGUAAACUCCUUUUAUAUAGGAAGAUAAUGACGGUACUAUAUGAAUAAGCACCGGCUAACUCCGUGCCAGCAGCCGCGGUAAUACGGAGGGUGCAAGCGUUACUCGGAAUCACUGGGCGUAAAGAGCGUGUAGGCGGGUUAAUAAGUCAGAAGUGAAAUCCUAUGGCUCAACCAUAGAACUGCUUUUGAAACUGUUAACCUAGAGUGUGGGAGAGGUAGAUGGAAUUUCUGGUGUAGGGGUAAAAUCCGUAGAGAUCAGAAGGAAUACCGAUUGCGAAGGCGAUCUACUGGAACAUAACUGACGCUGAGACGCGAAAGCAUGGGGAGCAAACAGGAUUAGAUACCCUUGUAGUC
rnacentral:rRNA from 1 species